CCUCAGUAUGGCUUGAUGAGCAGUGCCAUGUCCACGCCCAGGACGCGAACCAGCGAAACACUGGGCCGCCUGCAGCGGAACGCGUGAACUUAACCACUCGGCCAAGGGGCCAGCUCCAUUUUGGGUAUUGAAAAUAUACUUAUAAAAUAAAAUGAAGCAUGGAGCUCUUCUAUUUUUGUCUUCACUGAGAAUGUCUGAAUACAGGAAAUAAACUUUGAAGAUUUGGUAAAACUCACCUCUUUGGUACGGCUGAAUUUUAAAAAUCCUCCUGAGGGGGCUGGCCCCUUGGCCGAGUGGUUAAGUUCGUGCGCUCUGCUGCAAGCGGCCCAGUGUUUCAUUGGUUCGAAUCCCGGGUGCGGAUACGGCACUGCUCAUCAAGCCACGCUGAGGCAGCGUCCCAUAUGCCACAACUAGAAGGACCCACAACGAAGAAUAUACAACUAUGUACUGGUGGGCUUUGGGGAGAAAAAGGGAAA
ensembl:lncRNA